UUGGGAAUCUUGGACAAUGGGGGAAACCCUGAUCCAGCCAUGCCGCGUGAGUGAUGAAGGCCUUAGGGUUGUAAAGCUCUUUUGUCAGGGACGAUAAUGACGGUACCUGAAGAAUAAGCUCCGGCUAACUUCGUGCCAGCAGCCGCGGUAAUACGAAGGGGGCUAGCGUUGUUCGGAAUUACUGGGCGUAAAGCGUGCGCAGGCUGCCAUUUAAGUCAGGGGUGAAAGCCCAGAGCUCAACUCUGGAAUUGCCUUUGAAACUAUUUGGCUUGAGUGCGGGAGAGGUGAGUGGAAUUCCCAGUGUAGAGGUGAAAUUCGUAGAUAUUGGGAAGAACACCGGUGGCGAAGGCGGCUCACUGGCCCGUUUCUGACGCUCAUGCACGAUAGCGUGGGGAUCAAACA
rnacentral:rRNA from 1 species